AGAGCGCCGCGCCACGAGGUGUAACCUGGAGCAAGAAAGAGGAAAAACAGGAAUACCUGUGAGAGGAACCCAAGUACAUGCAGUGCACAGAAGAGCAAGUCACUUGACUUGCUGGCGGCCACCCCGUUAAUCUGCAGCAGAGCCUGGACUUCAGUCUGCAUCUGUGAAACCCAGCGCAUGGAGACCAUCAAGCUUCAGAUGAUCAUGCAACAAGGUUUCCAGCCAGUUCAGGUGAAGACACCACUACUGGCCAUCAAGAAGCUACCCUGUAUCCACUAGACAGAGCAGAGUGAGAGUUCUGUGAUCCCAAAUAGAGAUGUUCACCUUAAGAGGACAGAUCUGCAGGUACCACCCGAUCCGUAACUCGGUGAUUCCAAAGAGAAGAACAUACCUUUCUAAUGGAGAUGUCUGGUGAUCACCACCAUAGCCGAGGGAUAGCAGUGCGGCACCCGGACGUGCUGAGCUGCAGACACAAUGACAGGUCCCACCUUACCUGGAAGAACCAUGAAGAUCAAAUAGAAGGUCCUUGUGCAUGAAGCUCAGCGGAAAAAAGCUCGGAUGUAGGGGUUGGAGACAGUUGUCGCUCAAGGUGCAAACUCCGGGCUGGCGCUGUGUGUGAACAGAUAACAACAAAAUGUAUGUGGCUGAGUCCACUAGGAAGACGCUUCUGUACCACAUGGAGUUCUCUGAAUUAACUUCCAGAUAUAUUAAAAUUAUUAAUGGUAAGUAAGAAAUGUAUCAAAUUGAAGCUUACAUACAUAUUGCUAAGAUGCCAUCAUGUCUGCAGAGAUUAUUUGGAACUUUGAACAACAAAAGAUUUUUUUUUUUUUUUGCAGAACAGUAUUUUAUCACUGAUGUUAUUUAGAGUUGCUAGCACUUGGUGAUAUCACAAGCGAACUGACUUUUAGUCAGCUGUGUUAUUGUGUUUAAAUUCUCUACAAACAUCCCUCAUUGCCUGCCUCAGGGGCAGGCGGCCCCUGCAGCUCUGUCUUGUGUAUGCAGCUGAUUUAAAGCCAUGGCAACAUCACAGUUAACACUAUCUAUGCACCUGUAAGAAGUGUUUAAUUAAAACUAACAGUCUUGA